rnacentral:rRNA from 1 species
AUUGAACGCUGGCGGCAGGCCUAACACAUGCAAGUCGAGCGGAUGAAGGGAGCUUGCUCCUGGAUUCAGCGGCGGACGGGUGAGUAAUGCCUAGGAAUCUGCCUGGUAGUGGGGGAUAACGUCCGGAAACGGGCGCUAAUACCGCAUACGUCCUGAGGGAGAAAGUGGGGGAUCUUCGGACCUCACGCUAUCAGAUGAGCCUAGGUCGGAUUAGCUAGUUGGUGGGGUAAAGGCCUACCAAGGCGACGAUCCGUAACUGGUCUGAGAGGAUGAUCAGUCACACUGGAACUGAGACACGGUCCAGAAUCCUACGGGAGGACGCAGUGGGGAAUAUUGGACAAUGGGCGAAAGCCUGAUCCAGCCAUGCCGCGUGUGUGAAGAAGGUCUUCGGAUUGUAAAGCACUUUAAGUUGGGAGGAAGGGCAGUAAGUUAAUACCUUGCUGUUUUGACGUUACCAACAGAAUAAGCACCGGCUAACUUCGUG